rnacentral:rRNA from 1 species
AUUGAACGCUGGCGGCAUGCCUUACACAUGCAAGUCGAACGGCAGCACGGGAGCAAUCCUGGUGGCGAGUGGCGAACGGGUGAGUAAAGUAUCGGAACGUGCCCAGUCGUGGGGGAUAACGUAGCGAAAGUUACGCUAAUACCGCAUACGAUCUAUGGAUGAAAGCGGGGGAUCGCAAGACCUCGCGCGAUUGGAGCGGCCGAUAUCAGAUUAGGUAGUUGGUGGGGUAAAGGCUCACCAAGCCGACGAUCUGUAGCUGGUCUGAGAGGACGACCAGCCACACUGGGACUGAGACACGGCCCAGACUCCUACGGGAGGCAGCAGUGGGGAAUUUUGGACAAUGGGCGAAAGCCUGAUCCAGCCAUACCGCGUGCGGGAUGAAGGCCUUCGGGUUGUAAACUGCUUUUGUACGGAACGAAAAGGUUUGGCCUAAUAAGCUGAGCUCAUGACGGUACCGUAAGAAUAAGCACCGGCUAACUACGUGCCAGCAGCCGCGGUAA